rnacentral:rRNA from 1 species
GCGGCCUAUCAGCUUGUUGGUGAGGUAAUGGCUCACCAAGGCGACGACGGGUAGCCGGCCUGAGAGGGCGACCGGCCACACUGGGACUGAGACACGGCCCAGACUCCUACGGGAGGCAGCAGUGGGGAAUAUUGGGCAAUGGAGGAAACUCUGACCCAGCGACGCCGCGUGCGGGAUGAAGGCCUUCGGGUUGUAAACCGCUUUCAGCAGGGAAGAAGCGAAAGUGACGGUACCUGCAGAAGAAGCACCGGCUAACUAUGUGCCGGCAGCCGCGGUAAUACAUAGGGUGCAAGCGUUGUCCGGAAUUAUUGGGCGUAAAGAGCUCGUAGGUGGUUCGUCACGUCGGAUGUGAAAAUCUGGGGCUCAACCCCAGACCUGCAUUCGAUACGGGCGAUCUAGAGUGUGGUAGGGGAGACUGGAAUUCCU